AUCAUCUCCUUUUUGUGUUUAUAUUCCUUCACCCAGCUUAUCUGAAAACAGUCAUCAAACAGAGAAGUAAAUUAGCCAAGAGAUACUCACUAACAACAUUGGCUUGUCCAGUGAAUAUGGUGUACUGGAGUUCAUAGGAGACCACGCUGAACUCAUCAUCUGAAGUCCAGUGGACAGUGAUGGUGUCAUAGGAAGCCGUGCAGAGCUCUUCUCUAAUUGUGGGAGGGUUGGGAGCUGUUGACAUAAAAAAUGCAUAUCAGUGGAGCAGCAGAUACCAUUAGGAUUACAAUUUGGAGGUUUCUCUAUGAGGAUAUUUGGAAAUUAAUGGUGAUGUUUAAGGACAAGAAAAAUAACCUAACCGGUAUAUAUUGAUGUAAAAGAAAUUGAGAGCAUACUGUAAAACUACCACAAUAUUCUAGAGUGAACUUCCAUGUAGAACAUACUUUUAAUUAUACGUCUGUGUCCUCUUCUGCAAAACUAAUCUUACUGGAAAUAAGAUAAUGCUGCUGA
ensembl:antisense